rnacentral:snRNA from 1 species
AUAGAGUUUCUUUAUGAAGA